CGGCAAAUUUUUUUUCGUUACCUUCAUCUGCUUCUUUUCCCAUCAAUGGUGAUAAUGGUUUUUAUAUGUGAUUAGAAACAUAUACGUGAAAAAAAUGUAAGGCUUUUUUUUUGUUUAAAAAUUUGGAUUCCCAAAAAAAUAUAAUUUCUUUUAUUAAAAUUUAUUGAUUCUUUUAAAAUUUGCCUAAUAUACAAAAGUUUCUUAAUAUAUAAAGUAUUAUGAAAUCUUGAUUGUAAAAAGUUUUUUGAAAAAUAUCUCUCAAAAUCCAUUCAAAUCAUGUGUUAAAAAUCUUGAUUGUAAAAAAGUCUAUGUAAAAAAGUCUUUAAAAUCUCACAAAAUCAAUAUAGUCCAACAAAAUCUCAUAAAAUCAUCAAGACUUUUUUUGCCAAAAUUAUCUCAUGAAAUCCCAAUCCAAUACACC
rnacentral:lncRNA from 1 species